rnacentral:rRNA from 1 species
UACAGAGGUCCCAAGCGUUGUUCGGAUUCACUGGGCGUAAAGGGUGCGUAGGUGGUUGGAUAAGUUUGAUGUGAAAUCUUCGAGCUCAACUCGGAAACGGCAUUAAAUACUAUCUAGCUGGAGGAUUGGAAGGGAGACUGGAAUUCUUGGUGUAGCAGUGAAAUGCGUAGAUAUCAAGAGGAACACCAGUGGCGAAGGCGAGUCUCUGGACAAUUCCUGACACUGAGGCACGAAAGCUAGGGGAG